GAUGAACGCUAGCGGCGUGCCUAACACAUGCAAGUCGAACGUGAGAGGGUACUUGUAUCCUUGAAAGUGGCGGACGGGUGAGUAAGACGUAGGUGACCUGCCUUGAAGUGGGGGAUAACCAUUGGAAACGAUGGCUAAUACCGCAUAAGCUGGUGAUGAUGGGAAUCGUUAUCAGGAAAGCUUUAGUGCUUUGAGAGGGGCCUACGGCCGAUUAGCUAGUUGGUGAGGUAAAGGCUCACCAAGGCGAUGAUCGGUAGCUGGUCUGAGAGGACGAUCAGCCACACGGGAACUGAGACACGGUCCCGACUCCUACGGGGGGCAGCAGUGAGGAAUAUUCGGCAAUGGGGGCAACCCUGACCGAGCAACGCCGCGUGGAGGAUGACGGUUUUCGGAUUGUAAACUCCUUUUCUCAGGGUAAGAGCGAGGACGGUACCUGGGGAAUAAGUCACGGCUAACUACGUG
rnacentral:rRNA from 1 species